rnacentral:rRNA from 1 species
UACGUAGGAGGCAAGCGUUAUCCGGAGUUACUGGGCGUAAAGAGUGCGUAGGCGGACCUGUAAGUGGGUGGUGAAAGCGCUCGGCUAAACCGGGCGAGGUUCAUUCAGACUGCAGGUCUAGAGGCGGAUAGAGGGGUGCGGAAUUCCGGGUGUAGCGGUGAAAUGUGUAGAGAUCCGGAGGAACACCAGUGGUGCAAACGGCGCCCUGGGUCCGAACUGACGCUGAAGCACGAAAGCGUGGGGAGCGAACGGG